AUCCUUUCGCUCAGGCAAUAUCGUAGCCUAUGAGGUUUAUCUGAGGUGCGAUCGUUGCUGGUUGAAAACUUUACCCAAUACCCCGCCUGGAUGACCUGGGGGGGAAAUAGUCAGCCGGGGAAAUUUUUGAUAGCAUACAUG